rnacentral:tRNA from 1 species
GGGUAGAGCUCAGUGGUAGAGCACGUGUUUAGCAUGCAUGAGGUCCUGGGUUCAAUCCCUAGCACCUCCA